rnacentral:tRNA from 1 species
UCCCAUGUGGUGUAGUGGUGAGGAUCUGGCGAUCUCACCGCCAUGGCCCGGGUUCAAUUCCCGGCAUGGGAA